AUUGAACGCUAGCGGCAGGCUUAACACAUGCAAGUCGAGCGAGCGGCGGACGGGUGAGUAAUGUCUGGGAACCUGCCCAAUGGAGGGGGAUAACUACUGGAAAGGGUGGCUAAUACCGCAUACCAUCAGAUGGGCCCAGAUGGGAUUAGCUAGUUGGUGGGGUAAUGGCUCACCUAGGCGACGAUCCCUAGCUGGUCUGAGAGGAUGACCAGCCACACUGGAACUGAGACACGGUCCAGACUCCUACGGGAGGCAGCAGUGGGGAAUAUUGGACAAUGGGCGAAAGCCUGAUGCAGCCAUGCCGCGUGUGUGAAGAAGGCCUUCGGGUUGUAAAGCACUUUCAGCGAGGAGGCGUUACCUGCAGAAGAAGCACCGGCUAACUACGUGCCAGCAGCCGCGGUAAUUC
rnacentral:rRNA from 1 species